GCCGUGGUAGUGUAUUGGUUGCAUUCAGGCCUGUGGAGCCUGCAGGCCGGGUUCGAGCCCCGGCCACGGCC
rnacentral:tRNA from 1 species